GACGACCGCUGGCGGCGUGCCUAAUCCAUGCAAGUCGAACGGAGUGGCGCACGGGUGAGUAAUGUAUAGCUAAUCUGCCCCACACUCGAGGACCACAGUUGGAACCGGCUGCUAAUACUCUAUAGUGUAGGAUGAGGCUAUAUUGUAUCCGCUAGGUGGUGAUGUAAUUGCUCACUAAGGCUAUGACGCAUAACUGGUCUGAGAGGAUGAUCAGUCACACUCGAAUGGAGACACGGUCCAGACUCCUACGGGAGGCAGCAGUAGGGAAUAGGGCGCAAGGGGGGACACCCGGAAGCAGCAACGGCGCGUGGAGGAUGACACUUUUCGGAGCGUAAACUUCUUUUGUUAUGGAAGCGGUACCUAACGAAUAAGCACCGGCUAACUCCGUGCCAGCAGCCGCGGUAAUUC
rnacentral:rRNA from 1 species